rnacentral:rRNA from 1 species
AUUGAACGCUGGCGGCAUGCCUUACACAUGCAAGUCGAACGGCAGCACGGGUGCUUGCACCUGGUGGCGAGUGGUGAACGGGUGAGUAAUACAUCGGAACGUAUCUUAUCGUGGGGGAUAACGCAGCGAAAGCUGUGCUAAUACCGCAUACGCCCUGAGGGGGAAAGCGGGGGAUCGAAAGACCUCGCGCGACUAGAGCGGCCGAUGCCUGAUUAGCUUGUUGGUGGGGUAAAAGCCCACCAAGGCGACGAUCAGUAGCUGGUCUGAGAGGACGAUCAGCCACACUGGGACUGAGACACGGCCCAGACUCCUACGGGAGGCAGCAGUGGGGAAUUUUGGACAAUGGGGGCAACCCUGAUCCAGCAAUGCCGCGUGAGUGAAGAAGGCCUUCGGGUUGUAAAGCUCUUUUGUCAGGGAAGAAACACCGGCUCUAACACAGUCCGGGAAUGACGGUACCUGAAGAAUAAGCACCGGCUAACUACGUGCCAGCAGCCGCCGUAA